UACGUAGGGGGCAAGCGUUGUCCGGAUUUAUUGGGCGUAAAGAGCGUGUAGGCGGCCAGGUAGGUCUGCUGUGAAAACUCGAGGCUCAACCUCGAGACGUCGGCGGAAACCAUCUGGCUAGAGUCCGGAAGAGGAGAGUGGAAUUCCUGGUGUAUCGGUGAAAUGCGCAGAUAUCAGGAAGAACACCCGUGGCGAAGGCGGCUCUCUGGGACGGUACUGACGCUGAGACGCGAAAGCGUGGGGAGCGAACAGG
rnacentral:rRNA from 1 species